UUUACCUACGGGACGCAGCAGUGGGGAAUAUUGGGCAAUGGGCGCAAGCCUGACCCAGCAACGCCGCGUGAAGGAAGAAGGCUUUCGGGUUGUAAACUUCUUUUCUCAGGGACGAACAGAUGACGGUACCUGAGGAAUAAGCCACGGCUAACUACGUGCCAGCAGCCGCGGUAAUACGUAGGUGGCAAGCGUUAUCCGGAUUUACUGGGUGUAAAGGGUGCGUAGGCGGCUUGGCAAGUCAGUAGUGAAAUCCAUGGGCUUAACCCAUGAACUGCUAUUGAAACUGUCGAGCUUGAGUGAAGUAG
rnacentral:rRNA from 1 species